UACUGGAAACGGUAGCUAAUACCGCAUAACGUCGCAAGACCAAAGAGGGGGACCUUCGGGCCUCUUGCCAUCGGAUGUGCCCAGAUGGGAUUAGCUUGUAGGUGGGGUAACGGCUCACCUAGGCGACGAUCCCUAGCUGGUCUGAGAGGAUGACCAGCCACACUGGAACUGAGACACGGUCCAGACUCCUACGGGAGGCAGCAGUGGGGAAUAUUGCACAAUGGGCGCAAGCCUGAUGCAGCCAUGCCGCGUGUAUGAAGAAGGCCUUCGGGUUGUAAAGUACUUUCAGCGGGGAGGAAGGGAGUAAAGUUAAUACCUUUGCUCAUUGACGUUACCCGCAGAAGAAGCACCGGCUAACUCCGUGCCAGCAGCCGCGGUAAUACGGAGGGUGCAAGCGUUAAUCGGAAUUACUGGGCGUAAAGCGCACGCAGGCGGUUUGUUAAGUCAGAUGUGAAAUCCCCGGGCUCAACCUGGGAACUGCAUCUGAUACUGGCAAGCUUGAGUCUCGUAGAGGGGGGUAGAAUUCCAGGUGUA
rnacentral:rRNA from 1 species